rnacentral:rRNA from 1 species
UCAGAUUGAACGCUGGCGGUAGGCUUAACACAUGCAAGUCGAGCGGUAACAGGAGUAGCUUGCUACUCGCUGACGAGCGGCGGACGGGGGAGUAACGCGUUUACCUAUUGGCGGGGGAUAGCCCAGAGAAAUUUGGAUUAAUACCGCAUAAGCCCUACGGGGGAAAGCGGGGGACUAUUUGUAGCCUCGCACCGAUAGAUGAGCCUGCGUUAGAUUAGCUAGUUGGUGAGGUAAUGGCUCACCAAGGCGACGAUCUCUAGCUGGUCUGAGAGGAUGAUCAGCCACACUGGGACUGAGACACGGCCCAGACUCCUACGGGAGGCAGCAGUGGGGAAUAUUGGACAAUGGGCGGAAGCCUGAUCCAGCAAUACCGCGUGUAUGAAGAAGGCUCUAGGGUCGUAAAGUACUUUCAGAGGGGAGGAAAGGUUGUAGUUUAAUAUGCUGCGACUGUGACGUUAACCUCAGAAGAAGCACCGGCUACCUACGUGCCAGCAGCCGCGGUAAAUACGGAGGGUGCAAGCUUUAAUCGGAAUUACUGGGCGUAAAGCGCGCGUAGGCCGUUAGUUAAGUUAGAUGUGAAAGCCCCGGGCUCAACCUGGGAACUGCAUUUAAAACUGGCUAACUAGAGUAUGGUAGAGGAGAGGGGAAUUUCAGCUGUAGCGGUGAAAUGCGUAGAUAUCUGACGGAACACCAGUGGCGAAGGCGGCUUUCUGGACUGAUACUGACACUGAGGCGCGAAAGCGUGGGGAGCGAACAGGAUUAGAUACCCUGGUAGUCCACGCUGUAAACGAUGAAAACUAGAUGUCUGUGUCUUCGGACGUGGGUAUCGCAGCUAACGCAAUAAGUUGACCGCCUGGGGAGUACGGCCGCAAGGCUAAAACUCAAAUGAAUUGACGGGGGCCCGCACAAGCGGUGGAGCAUGUGGUUUAAUUCGAUGCAACGCGAAGAACCUUACCUACCCUUGACAUCAAGAGAGUCUUGCAGAGAUGUGAGAGUGCCUUCGGGAACUCUUAGACAGGUGCUGCAUGGCUGUCGUCAGCUCGUGUCGUGAGAUGUUGGGUUAAGUACCGUAACGAGCGCAACCCUUAUUCUUAGUUGCCAGCACGUAAAGGUGGGGACUCUAGGAAGACUGCCGUUGCUAAAGCGGAGGAAGGUGGGGACGAUGUCAAGUCAUCAUGGCCCUUAUGGGUAGGGCUACACACGUGCUACAAUGGCUGGUACAGAGGGAAGCGAAGCGGCGAUGUGGAGCGGAUCUCAAAAAGCUUAUCGUAGUCCGGAUUGGAGUCUGCAACUCGACUCCAUGAAGCAGGAAUCGCUAGUAAUCGCGGAUCAGCAUGCCGCGGUGAAUACGUUCUCGGGCCUUGUACACACCGCCCGUCACACCAUGGGAGUAGGUUGUACCAGAAGUGGGUUGGUUAUUGGGCCGCCUACCACGGUAUGAUUUAUGACUGGGGUGAAGUCGUAACAAGGUAGCCGUAGGGGAACCUGUGGC